ACAUGUCCAUAGAAGUAUAUUUUUCAUACUUUAAUAAAUACAAUAUAAUUAACUCAUAACAUUUGCUUUUCUUACAGGCCCUGUUUGAAAUAAUAUUGGCUGGUUUAUUGAUUAUACAGUAAAAACAGGUAAUAGCAAAAUUCUAUUCACAUGAUUAGAAUAUGAUUACUUAUGUAUGCUGCCAAGCUUUAAUGCUGCAGUAUAUGUGUGGAAAAUACACCUCUUUAAAUUGCACAGAAGACGCCAUUAUAUUGAUUUAAAAACAUGGCGCAAGUACUUUCAUGUGCUGCAAUUUAGUCUGCCUUAUUCAACAAGGCAAAGAGCAACACACAUUAACCCAGAGCUACCAAUGAGAGUGAUUUCCCUG